GGGUUGUGAGGUUAAGCGACUAAGCGUACACGGUGGAUGCCCUGGCAGUCAGAGGCGAUGAAGGACGUGCUAAUCUGCGAUAAGCGUCGGUAAGGUGAUAUGAACCGUUAUAACCGGCGAUUUCCGAAUGGGGAAACCCAGUGUGAUUCGUCACACUAUCAUUAACUGAAUCCAUAGGUUAAUGAGGCGAACCGGGGGAACUGAAACAUCUAAGUACCCCGAGGAAAAGAAAUCAACCGAGAUUCCCCCAGUAGCGGCGAGCGAACGGGGAGGAGCCCAGAGCCUGAAUCAGUGUGUGUGUUAGUGGAAGCGUCUGGAAAGGCGCGCGAUACAGGGUGACAGCCCCGUACACAAAAAUGCACAUACUGUGAGCUCGAUGAGUAGGGCGGGACACGUGGUAUCCUGUCUGAAUAUGGGGGGACCAUCCUCCAAGGCUAAAUACUCCUGACUGACCGAUAGUGAACCAGUACCGUGAGGGAAAGGCGAAAAGAACCCCGGCGAGGGGAGUGAAAAAGAACCUGAAACCGUGUACGUACAAGCAGUGGGAGCCUCUUUAUGGGGUGACUGCGUACCUUUUGUAUAAUGGGUCAGCGACUUAUAUUCUGUAGCAAGGUUAACCGAAUAGGGGAGCCGAAGGGAAACCGAGUCUUAACUGGGCGUUAAGUUGCAGGGUAUAGACCCGAAACCCGGUGAUCUAGCCAUGGGCAGGUUGAAGGUUGGGUAACACUAACUGGAGGACCGAACCGACUAAUGUUGAAAAAUUAGCGGAUGACUUGUGGCUGGGGGUGAAAGGCCAAUCAAACCGGGAGAUAGCUGGUUCUCCCCGAAAGCUAUUUAGGUAGCGCCUCGUGAAUUCAUCUCCGGGGGUAGAGCACUGUUUCGGCAAGGGGGUCAUCCCGACUUACCAACCCGAUGCAAACUGCGAAUACCGGAGAAUGUUAUCACGGGAGACACACGGCGGGUGCUAACGUCCGUCGUGAAGAGGGAAACAACCCAGACCGCCAGCUAAGGUCCCAAAGUCAUGGUUAAGUGGGAAACGAUGUGGGAAGGCCCAGACAGCCAGGAUGUUGGCUUAGAAGCAGCCAUCAUUUAAAGAAAGCGUAAUAGCUCACUGGUCGAGUCGGCCUGCGCGGAAGAUGUAACGGGGCUAAACCAUGCACCGAAGCUGCGGCAGCGACACUAUGUGUUGUUGGGUAGGGGAGCGUUCUGUAAGCCUGUGAAGGUGUACUGUGAGGUAUGCUGGAGGUAUCAGAAGUGCGAAUGCUGACAUAAGUAACGAUAAAGCGGGUGAAAAGCCCGCUCGCCGGAAGACCAAGGGUUCCUGUCCAACGUUAAUCGGGGCAGGGUGAGUCGACCCCUAAGGCGAGGCCGAAAGGCGUAGUCGAUGGGAAACAGGUUAAUAUUCCUGUACUUGGUGUUACUGCGAAGGGGGGACGGAGAAGGCUAUGUUGGCCGGGCGACGGUUGUCCCGGUUUAAGCGUGUAGGCUGAUUUUCCAGGCAAAUCCGGAAAAUCAAGGCUGAGGCGUGAUGACGAGGCACUACGGUGCUGAAGCAACAAAUGCCCUGCUUCCAGGAAAAGCCUCUAAGCAUCAGGUAACAUCAAAUCGUACCCCAAACCGACACAGGUGGUCAGGUAGAGAAUACCAAGGCGCUUGAGAGAACUCGGGUGAAGGAACUAGGCAAAAUGGUGCCGUAACUUCGGGAGAAGGCACGCUGAUAUGUAGGUGAAGCGACUUGCUCGUGGAGCUGAAAUCAGUCGAAGAUACCAGCUGGCUGCAACUGUUUAUUAAAAACACAGCACUGUGCAAACACGAAAGUGGACGUAUACGGUGUGACGCCUGCCCGGUGCCGGAAGGUUAAUUGAUGGGGUUAGCGGUAACGCGAAGCUCUUGAUCGAAGCCCCGGUAAACGGCGGCCGUAACUAUAACGGUCCUAAGGUAGCGAAAUUCCUUGUCGGGUAAGUUCCGACCUGCACGAAUGGCGUAAUGAUGGCCAGGCUGUCUCCACCCGAGACUCAGUGAAAUUGAACUCGCUGUGAAGAUGCAGUGUACCCGCGGCAAGACGGAAAGACCCCGUGAACCUUUACUAUAGCUUGACACUGAACAUUGAGCCUUGAUGUGUAGGAUAGGUGGGAGGCUUUGAAGUGUGGACGCCAGUCUGCAUGGAGCCGACCUUGAAUACCACCCUUUAAUGUUUGAUGUUCUAACGUUGGCCCGUUAUCCGGGUUGCGGACAGUGUCUGGUGGGUAGUUUGACUGGGGCGGUCUCCUCCUAAA
rnacentral:rRNA from 1 species